rnacentral:rRNA from 1 species
AGAGUUUGAUCAUGGCUCAGAAUCAACGCUGGCGGCGUGCCUCAGACAUGCAAGUCGAACGAUUAAGACUCUCUUCGGAGAGUGUAUAAAGUGGCGCACGGGUGAGUAACACGUAGGUAAUGUACCGAAGGGUGGGGAAUAACUUAGGGAAACUUAAGCUAAUACCGCAUAAUGCAGCGGCUCGACAUCGAGACAGUUGUUAAAGGAGCAAUCCGCCUUUUGAGCAGCCUGCGGCAGAUUAGCUAGUUGGUAAGGUAAAUGGGCUUACCAAGGCUACGAUCUGUAACCGACCUGAGAGGGUGGUCGGUCACACUGACACUGAAUAACGGGUCAGACUCCUACGGGAGGCAGCAGUCGGGAAUUUUGGGCAAUGGGCGAAAGCCUGACCCAGCAACGCCGCGUGAAGGAUGAAGUAUUUCGGUAUGUAAACUUCGUAAGAAUAGGAAGAAUAAAUGACGGUACUAUUUGUAAGGUCCGGCUAACUACGUG